rnacentral:rRNA from 1 species
UUCAACGGCCGCGGUAUCUUAACCGUGCGAAGGUAGCGUAAUCACUUGUUCUCUAAAUAGGGACUAGUAUGAAUGGCAUCACGAGAGCUAACCUGUCUCCCCAAUCCAAUCAGUGAAACUGAUCUCCCCGUGCAGAAGCGGGGAUACACAUAUAAGACGAGAAGACCCUGUGAAGCUUAAAACUUAAAGUCAGCUGUCACCUAAAUUUCUCUAGAACAACCCAUCCACAGACUUGACCUACGUUUUCGGCUGGGGCAUCCUUGGAGAAAAAAAAAUCCUCCAAAAAGAACAAAGCCAUGAGUCACCCCUCUAAGCAUUAAUACACUUAACUUCAACUGACCCAAUAAAUUGAUCAAUGGACCAAGUUACUCCAGGGAUAACAGCGCAAUCCACUUUUAGAGUCCCUAUCGACAAGUGGGCUUACGACCUCGAUGUUGGAUCAGGGCAUCCUGGUGGUGCAGCCGCUACCAAGGGUUCGUUUGUUCAACGAUUAAAG